rnacentral:antisense_RNA from 1 species
GAGACCUACCAAGAACCAUGUGGUUGCUGUUAAUGACCAACUACAACAAAAUGGGCAACCCCGGGCAGUGGUGAGAAUGUGGGCUUGAAUUCUGUCUCUGUCCCUUACCAAUGGUACGACCAUGAGCAAGUUACCAAACGACUCUGUAAUGCCAGGCCCCUAAUCUGCCCAGUGGAGGAAAUACCCCAACUCCUAGAAGUAAUAAGAGAAUUAAGACUGCACAAGGAGCUGACCCACAGGAUAAAGACAGCAGCUGUUCCUUCCCUUUCCCCCAACAUGUAUUUCCCCAGAUGCCAUCCUACAUGUUCACAUUGAAGAGAUAAGCCUCUCAGAAGGAAGAUAACCAUAGAAAGUUGAAAAGAGAAACGUCUUUAAAUGCUGGUUUAUUAAGAAGAAUGAAGGCAGAUGUGACUGGGGCCAAAGAUCUCAGUGCACAUUCCUGACACUCCCCCACUGAUCAUGAGGCCCAAGGAUGUGGCCAGGAGGCCGGGCAUCAGCAGCUGGGAGACUCUUGCUGUGAAAGGAACCUGGGAAGCCUCUGCCACGUGCACAGCUGUGUAAGGAGAAGGACCUCUCUAUGUUUUCAGGGCUGACCUGCAGCGGAGACACCUACAUAUAAGCAUAAACUUGAGAAAGCAAUGAGCACCCAGGGGAGACGGGGCUGCCGCUUGGGCUUGCUACUUACCAGUGCUGUGUGAACUUUAAGAUGUGCCUGUAGCUUAUAUUUAUCUGGAGUUGAGUAGUCACAGCCGUCGGUGGGACACUUCAGCAAGAUGUUACUGUGUUUCUGAAUUACGUGGCGUUUAAGGCAGUUUUUGGUGAUGGAAGAAUAAUGACACUGAGAGCAAUAAUAUAGAUGUUCCCGGGUGUGGGUGCGGACAUGCAUAUCAAAAUGCACUUGGUACCAAAAAAGUUUGCCUAAAAAAAUAUUUUCACAUG